rnacentral:rRNA from 1 species
CGAACGCUGGCGGCGUGCCUAAUACAUGCAAGUCGAACGCACUUUCGUUAGAUUGAAGAAGCUUGCUUCUGAUUGAUAACAUUUGAGUGAGUGGCGGACGGGUGAGUAACACGUGGGUAACCUGCCCUAAAGUGGGGGAUAACAUUUGGAAACAGAUGCUAAUACCGCACUAAAACCUAGCACCGCAUGGUGCAAGGUUGAAAGAUGGUUUCGGCUAUCACUUUAGGAUGGACCCGCGGUGCAUUAGUUAGUUGGUGAGGUAAAGGCUCACCAAGACCGUGAUGCAUAGCCGACCUGAGAGGGUAAUCGGCCACACUGGGACUGAGACACGGCCCAGACUCCUACGGGAGGCAGCAGUAGGGAAUCUUCCACAAUGGACGAAAGUCUGAUGGAGCAACGCCGCGUGAGUGAAGAAGGUUUUCGAAUCGUAAAACUCUGUUGUUGGAGAAGAACGUAUUUGAUAGUAACUGAUCAGGUAGUGACGGUAUCCAACCAGAAAGCCACGGCUAACUACGUG